UACGGAGGAGGCAAGCGUUAUCCGGAAUUAUUGGGCGUAAAGCGUCCGUAGGUGGCUAGUCAAGUCUGCGGUCAAAGACUGGGGCUUAACCCUGGAAAGGCCGUGGAAACUGACGAGCUAGAGUGCAGUAGGGGUAGAGGGAAUUCCCGGUGUAGCGGUGAAAUGCGUAGAGCUCGGGAAGAACAUCGGUGGCGAAAGCGCUCUACUGGACGGUACUGACGCUGAGACGCGAAAGCGUGGGGAGCGAACAGG
rnacentral:rRNA from 1 species